rnacentral:rRNA from 1 species
UACGAAGGGAGCUAGCGUUGUUCGGAAUCACUGGGCGUAAAGCGCACGUAGGCGGAUGUGUCAGUCAGGGGUGAAAUCCCGGAGCUCAACUUCGGAACUGCCUUUGAUACAGCACAUCUGGAGUCCGGAAGAGGUGGGUGGAAUUCCUAGUGUAGAGGUGAAAUUCGUAGAUAUUAGGAAGAACACGGUGGCGAAGGCGGCCCACUGGUCCGGUACUGACGCUGAGGUGCGAAAGCGUGGGGAGC